rnacentral:rRNA from 1 species
AUUGAACGCUGGCGGCAGGCUUAACACAUGCAAGUCGAGCGAGCGGCGGACUGGUGAUUAAUGUCUGGGAACCUGCCUGCUGGAGGGGGAUAACUACUGGAAACGGUAGCUAAUACCGCAUACCAUCAUAUGUUCCCAGAUCCGAUUAGCUAGUAGGUGGGGUAAUGGCUCACCUAGGCGACGAUCCCUUGCUGGUCUGAGAGGAUGACCAGCCAAACUGGAACUGAGACACGGUCCAGACUCCUACGGGAGGCAGCAGUGGGGAAUAUUGCACAAUGGGCGCAAGCCUGAUGCAGCCAUGCCGCGUGUGUGAAGAAGGCCUUCGGGUUGUAAAGCACUUUCAGCGAGGAGGCGUUAAUCGAAGAAGAAGAACCGGCUAACUCCGUGCCAGCCGCCGCGGUAAUUG